CACAUGUUUUUGCUGUUUGAACAUAUUGAAUCAUGAGCUGGCAAAAAGCAAUAUAUAGCAUGCUCAUAAUAAAUUUUAUUUACAUUUCUGUUCUCUUCCAUGGACAAUUAUAGACUUCAGACUAGAUCGAGAAAUUACAUUUUAUUGGUGUCACCAGAAGGUCCAGAACUGAUAGAAAUACGACCUUUUACAGUUUGAGCAACCUUGUGAAAUAACCAUUUAACGAUUACUCUUUCUACUGCUACUAAGAUGCUUAGCAUAAGCCAGUAAAAUAAUACUAGGUACUUCUGGUUAUAAGUUCGUCGCCGGCUUUGAUGAUGUUAAGGCUUGAGCAAUGUUGUGAAAUAACCAUUCGGUGAUUCAUUUUUCUACUGCUACUCAGGUUCUUAGCAUAAACUGUAUAAUUAAAUGCCGAUUAUAUAGGUAGUUCUGGUUGCAAAUUGGAUGUAGGCUUUGAAUGAUGUUAUGGCUAAUGAACUUCCAGAAAUUGUAGCUGAGUCUGCAAAGGUAUAGAAUGAAUGGAAAAUUUAUUCUCCUUAGACAUCCUAGCAUAUCCACUGAUGGAUCUAACUUCUGAUUUAUUGUUUGUUAUGUAUCACAACAGUAUAGUAUCCUUCUGAAAGAUGCAGACGCAGGAAGAUUUAUAGUUGAUGGGUGAAGAAUCCAAUGAAGCUGAAGCUAGGCCUAAAUUUAGACUUGUAGUUCCUAAUAGCUCUUGCGGUGGAAUUAUUGGUAAAGAAGGAGCAACAAUCAAGUCAUUCAUUGAAGCUUCAGCGACCCAUAAAACCCGGGAAGUGAAGCCCUCUUCAAUCCUCUACCUCUCUCGCUGCUGUGUCCAGCCUGCUGCCUGCCUGCUGUGUUGCCUCAAAGAAGGGUCGGGGGCACUUGAUGUGGAGGAUGGCGACAAGGAGAAGUGAGGAUUUCGUGAGGACAGAAACAACGGGAGAGAUAAAACAUACUCCUCUGGUGCAUUGAAUUUAGACUGUUUGAUGUUCUGCUGCUGGUCAAUUCAGUUUCCGUGCUCCAGUUUCAUGACGGGAGUUGUCCGUCAGGGGGUAAGUUGUAGGCGCACGCAAGCGCGCAUGUGCUCGUGCAUCUCGGUGUGUGGACACGGGAUGCUCUCUUGCAGUUCAGAGUAAGAGCGAUCAUAUAUGGCUUGAGAUAUUGCAUAGGAAAAGGAUCUACCAGAUCAUCAAUGCAACACAGGACAUCUGAAUUUAACCUUAUCUUUCUCUUUUCUUUUGAAAGGGAUAGAGGAGUGGAAAGGCGUACUGCUUGAUCAGAAACUAAGGAGUUUGCAUCAUUAUUAGCUGCCAGUAUAGCUUACUUUGAGCUUAACCACAUACCUGAUUGUUGUGUAUGAAAGCACAAUCCUAUCAAAUACUCUUCUUUUUUGCU